AUACGGAGGAUCCGAGCGUUAUCCGGAUUUAUUGGGUUUAAAGGGUGCGCAGGCGGCCAUUUAAGUCAGCGGUUAAAUCGUGGGGCUCAACCCCAUUCUGCCGUUGAUACUGGGUGGCUUGAUUGCGGUCGAGGUUGGCGGAAUUCGUUGUGUAGCGGUGAAAUGCAUAGAUAUGACGAAGAACACCGAUUGCGUAGGCAGCUGACCAGACCGCAAAUGACGCUCAUGCACGAAAGUGCGGGGAUCGAACAGGAUUAGAUACCCUGGUAGUCCGCACAGUAAACGAUGAAUACUUGUUUUCGGCGAUAUAAUGUCGGAGGCAAAGCGAAAGCGAUAAGUAUUCCACCUGGGGAGUACGCCGGCAACGGUGGAACUUAAAGGAAUUGACGGGG
rnacentral:rRNA from 1 species